UAUAAAGGUAGUGCUAUUCCCAGACUUCCCUUAGCAGGGAGCGAGGGCUGUGGGCAGCAGCCUCCUGGGGGGGGGUUGUCCUCCCUUACAGGAUGAUGUCUUGAUGUGCUGCUGCUUGGGAGAGAGGCUGAAGAGCUGCUCAGGGCCCUCCACCAGCAAGGCCACCUUCAGCUUUGUACCACGUUGCUCAGGGUUGAGCAUCUCCAAGGGAUGUCACAGCUCCAGCAGUCCUGCCUGCCUGGCUGGUGGCUUUUCCCCCACACGAGGACACAGGGACUGGCUGCGUGGGCAAGGGCAGAGCGGUGCGUGUGUUACCCCUCUCUCCUACCCUCCUCCUUUUGGCUGGGGAUGCCUGGGCUGGGCGAAAAGACAUACUAGAUGAAAAAUUGUCUGCCCCAGGCCUGGAGGCUGAGGACUCCUGAGCCUCAGGGUCCCUCUGACAUUGACAGCUGAGGUUGCAGGAUGGGGACAUCUGUCUGUCCUUUCUCUUUUUUUUUUUUUUUUUUUUUUAAACAGGUAUUUUAUUGGAUCUGGUGCAGCUAGAGGCUGGAAAUGAUCUGGUUCAUUUCCUGUUUAUAUUUGGCUUUAAAAAAAAAAUAAACCACACUGGCUUGCUACCUCCUGC